rnacentral:rRNA from 1 species
UACGUAGGGUGCGAGCGUUAAUCGGAAUUACUGGGCGUAAAGCGUGCGCAGGCGGUUUUGUAAGCCAGAUGUGAAAUUCCCGGGCUUAACCUGGGAAUGGCAUUUGGGACUGCAAGGCUGGAGUGCGGCAGAGGAGACUGGAAUUCCUGGUGUAGCGGUGAAAUGCGCAGAUAUCAGGAGGAACACCAAUUGCGAAGGCAGCUCGCUGGGACGUUACUGACGCUGAGACGCGAAAGCGUGGGGAGCAAACAGG